AUUGAACGCUGGCGGCAUGCCUUACACAUGCAAGUCGAACGGCAGCAUGAUCUAGCUUGCUAGAUUGAUGGCGAGUGGCGAACGGGUGAGUAAUACAUCGGAACGUGCCCUGUAGAGGGGGAUAACUAGUCGAAAGAUUAGCUAAUACCGCAUACGACCUGAGGGUGAAAGUGGGGGACCGCAAGGCCUCAUGCUAUAGGAGCGGCCGAUGUCUGAUUAGCUAGUUGGUGGGGUAAAGGCCCACCAAGGCGACGAUCAGUAGCUGGUCUGAGAGGACGAUCAGCCACACUGGAACUGAGACACGGCCCAGACUCCUACGGGAGGCAGCAGUGGGGAAUUUUGGACAAUGGGGGCAACCCUGAUCCAGCAAUGCCGCGUGUGUGAAGAAGGCCUUCGGGUUGUAAAGCACUUUUGUCCGGAAAGAAAUCGCACUUACUAAUAUUAGGUGUGGAUGACGGUACCGGAAGAAUAAGGACCGGCUAACUACGUG
rnacentral:rRNA from 1 species